rnacentral:rRNA from 1 species
CGCAGCCGCGGUAAUUCCAGCUCCAAUAGCGUAUAUUAAAGUUGUUGCAGUUAAAAAGCUCGUAGUUGAAUUUCGGGGUCAGUAGGUUGGUCAUGCCACUGGUAUGUACUGGUCUCACUGAUUCCUCCUUCCUGAUGAACUGUAAUGCCAUUAAUUUGGUGUUGCAGGGAAUCUGGACUGUUACUUUGAAAAAAUUGAGUGUUUAAAGCAGGCUAACGCCUGAAUACAUUAGCGUGGAAUAAUGAAAUAGGACGUUCGAUCCUAUUUUGUUGGUUUCUAGGAUUGACGUAAUGGUUAAUAGGGAUAGUUGGGGGCAUUAGUAUUCAAUUGUCAGAGGUGAAAUUCUUGGAUUUAUUGAAGACUAACUACUGCGAAAGCAUUUGCCAAGGAUGUUUUCAUUAAUCAAGAACGAAGUUAGGGGAUCGAAGA